rnacentral:rRNA from 1 species
GAUGAACGCUGGCGGCGUGCCUAAUACAUGCAAGUCGAGCGAACGGACGAGAAGCUUGCUUCUCUGAUGUUAGCGGCGGACGGGUGAGUAACACGUGGAUAACCACCUAUAAGGCUGGGAUAACUUCGGGAAACCGGAGCUAAUACCGGAUAAUAUUUUGAACCGCAUGGUUCAAAAGUGAAAGACGGUCUUGCUGUCACUUAUAGAAGGAUCCGCGCUGCAUUAGCUAGUUGGUAAGGUAACGGCUUACCAAGGCAACGAUGCAUAGCCGACCUGAGAGGGUGAUCGGCCACACUGGAACUGAGACACGGUCCAGACUCCUACGGGAGGCAGCAGUAGGGAAUCUUCCGCAAUGGGCGAAAGCCUGACGGAGCAACGCCGCGUGAGUGAUGAAGGUCUUCGGAUCGUAAAACUCUGUUAUUAGGGAAGAACAUAUGUGUAAGUAACUGUGCACAUCUUGACGGUACCUAAUCAGAAAGCCACGGCUAACUACGU